AUACGAAGGGUGCGAGCGUUAUUCGGAAUUAUUGGGCGUAAAGGGUUCGUAGGUUGAAAUAUAAGUCAUGUGUGAAAUCACCGAGCUUAACUUGGUACGUGCAUAUGAUACUGUAUUUCUUGAGUGUUGGAGAGGGUAGUGGAAUUGUUGGUGUAGGAGUGACAUCCGUAGAGAUCAGCAGGAACAUCAGAGGCGAAGGCGACUACCUGGCCAAAUACUGACACUGAGGAACGAAAGCGUGGGGAGC
rnacentral:rRNA from 1 species